AUCAUUAAUGAGUUAGGGUUCUUUAAUAGGCCCGACCUCCCAACCCUGUGUUUAUCGAAUUUUUAUGUUGCUUCGGCGGACCCGUCCACUCGUGGGCCGCCGGAGGAUUACCGAGAGGUGUCCUCUGGCCCGCGUCCGCCGAUGGCCCAUAUCUACAACCUCUUGAAUUAAUCGUGUCUACACCUGUCUAAGUCUAUGAUUAAAUUAAAAGCAAAACUUUCAACAACGGAUCUCUUGGUUCUGGCAUCGAUGAAGAACGCAGCGAAAUGCGAUAAGUAAUGCGAAUUGCAGAAUUCCAGUGAGUCAUCGAAUCUUUGAACGCACAUUGCGCCCUUUGGUAUUCCGAAGGGCAUGCCUGUUCGAGCGUCAUUAUCACCACUCAAGCCCCUGGGUUUGGAUUUGGACGGCCCGGUCGACGCGUCAUUUAGCGCCGACCCCUCCUAAAGACAAUGACGGCGGUCUCGUAGCACCCCCGGUACACUGAGCUUAAUUGAGCACGUAUCGGAUUGAGGGCGCUCGUGGAUUCCGGUCUCUGCUCCUUUAUUGAAAAGGAGCACCCCCCUUUCUCAAGGUUGACC
rnacentral:rRNA from 1 species